CCCGUUUCCGGUCCGGUGGGUACAAGAUGACGGAGCCGGGCGCCUCUCCCGAGGACCCUUGGGUCAAGGUGGAGUAUGCCUACAGCGACAACAGCCUGGACCCCGGGCUUUUUGUAGAAAGCACCCGCAAGGGGAGUGUAGUGUCCAGAGCUAAUAGCAUCGGUUCCACCAGUGCCUCUUCUGUCCCCAACACAGGUAGGCAGUAACAUCCCCCCCGACCUCGGGGGGCUCAGAUAUGUCAUAAUUGUAGUACCUUUCCUAGACAGGGAAGCCCCAGCCAUCCACACAGGGGUGCUGGAGCCAAAGUAUCAGACACAAGGUCUCACCAUCUUUCACCUCAUCUGGAACAUUAGGUGGUUCUGUCCAUCUGCCUUCUCUGGACACCAGGUUCUUCCCAGCUGGGGAAAGGUGGGCUAGCUGGACCCCACUGGGCCCCAAGAUGACCUUUCCCUGCCCCCAUCUCUGAGCGUAGAUGAUGAGGACAGUGAUUACCACCAGGAGGCCUACAAGGAGUCCUACAAAGACCGGCGGCGGCGCGCACACACUCAGGCUGAGCAGAAGAGGAGGGACGCCAUCAAGAGAGGCUAUGAUGACCUUCAGACCAUCGUCCCCACUUGCCAGCAGCAGGACUUCUCCAUUGGCUCCCAAAAGCUCAGCAAAGCCAUC
rnacentral:lncRNA from 1 species